AGAUGUUUGGCACCACCUGCUUUGUCAGAUGUAUGAUAUGCAAAUAUCUUCUCCCAAUUACUGGACUGUGGAAGUUUGCUAUGAGAUGAUUGUCAUGACCUUAUCUGAUAGACAAGGGAACUGAGGUUCAGAGAACAGAUGCAACACAGCCAAGGACACACAGGAACCUGGAUAUAAUGAGGCGACCACAUUUAGAUGGUAAAAUGACCAGUGCCCACUUGCUGUUGAAAUGCUACGCUUUGAAAGUCCAUGGAUACCCAAGAGAGAAAUGUUCAAUAUUCAACAAAAUCGAAGAAUUUGGAAAUUGAAAAUCUCUCAGAUGUUCUGAGAGAGAGAGUAAAUCCUAGGGCAGAGUCAGAGGAUUUACACUUAAGCCUACAACUAUAUGAGAAAGAAAUAAGGAAGAGAAUAAAAGCCUGGACAAUUGGG